rnacentral:misc_RNA from 1 species
AGCGUCAUUGCACCCCUCAAGCGUAGCUUGGUCUUGGGCUCUCGUCUCUGCGGACGUGUCCGAAAAUGAGUGGCGGUCGAGUAUGACUUCAAGCGUAGUAAAAUACAUCCCGCUUUGGAAGCCUCACGCUCUUGCCUGCCAAAACAUAUCCAUAUUCAAUGAUUGACCUCGGAUCAGGUAGGGAUACCCGCUGAACUUAA